rnacentral:rRNA from 1 species
UACGAAGGGGGCUAGCGUUGUUCGGAAUCACUGGGCGUAAAGCGCACGUAGGCGGAUCUUUAAGUCAGGGGUGAAAUCCCGAAGCUCAACCUCGGAACUGCCUUUGAUACUGGAGAUCUCGAGUCCGGGAGAGGUGAGUGGAACUGCGAGUGUAGAGGUGAAAUUCGUAGAUAUUCGCAAGAACACCAGUGGCGAAGGCGGCUCACUGGCCCGGAACUGACGCUGAGGUGCGAAAGCGUGGGGAGCAAACAGGG